UCCGUCCUCACUAAAAUGGCCGCGGGUCUGGGCCUGUUACAUUCCUCAACGGUUACUUGUGGUUGCUAAGCAACCUCAAACGCCUCGGGGAGAGGAACAUAAUGGGACAGGACCUGAAGCAAUACCUGACGAGACCCGUCCACACUGUACCGGGAGAUAUUUCUGCUGAUCGCUUCUUACUGAACCUCACUGGAGAUGUGGACCGUUAGUCAACUGUUGCUGUCAUCUUGUUAUUAAGCUGCUGGGUAGUGAUUGUUGAGACAUGGGGUCAGAGUCGGUGAAGGUGGUGGUCAGGUGCAGGCCCCUGAAUGACAGGGAGAAGGCGCUCAGCUGUAAGAUGGUGCUGUCCAUGGACCUGCAGCGCUGCCAGUGCUUCAUAGAAAAGCCAGGUGCAGUGGAUGAGCCACCUAAACAGUUCACCUUUGAUGGGACCUACUAUAUUGAUCAAGCAACUGAGCAGAUGUACAACGAGAUUGCCUAUCCUUUGGUUGAGGGUGUGACUGAGGGAUACAACGGGACAAUUUUUGCCUAUGGACAAACUGGAAGUGGAAAAUCUUUCACCAUGCAAGGGGUGUCUGAACCUGCAACCCAGAAGGGUGUCAUCCCACGGGCCUUUGAACACAUCUUUGAGAGCAUUCAGUGUGCAGAAAAUACGAAAUUCCUGGUGAGGGCCUCCUACUUGGAGAUUUACAAUGAAGAAAUCCGAGAUCUUUUGGGAAGCGACACCAAGCAGAGAUUGGAGCUGAAAGAGCACCCAGAGCGUGGGGUAUAUGUACGGGACCUUUCCAUGCACACUGUGCACAGUGUGGGAGAGUGUGAAAGAAUCAUAGAGAAAGGCUGGAGGAACCGGGCGGUGGGCUACACGCUGAUGAACAAAGACUCCUCACGCUCCCACUCAAUCUUCACCAUCCACCUGGAGAUCUGCAGCACUGAUUCAUCUGGCCAGGACCAUCUACGGGCAGGAAAACUCAACCUUGUGGACCUGGCAGGAAGUGAGCGUCAGUCUAAAACUGGUGCUACCGGGGAGCGACUCCGCGAAGCCACAAAGAUCAAUCUUUCCCUCUCGGCCCUGGGAAAUGUCAUCUCCGCCCUGGUAGAUGGACGCUCCAGAUACAUCCCCUACAGAGACUCCAAGCUGACCAGGCUGCUGCAGGACUCUCUGGGAGGAAACACCCGCACCCUGAUGAUUGCCUGUCUUUCGCCUGCAGACAACAAUUAUGAGGAAAGCCUAAGUACCCUGCGAUAUGCAAACCGGGCCAAGAGCAUCCAGAACAGGCCUCGCAUCAACGAGGACCCAAAGGAUGCUCUGCUCCGAGAGUAUCAGGAGGAAAUCAAGAAGCUGCGGGCGCUCCUCACAGGCCAGCUGAGCACUGCUGACCUUUCAACUCUGCUGGCUGGUCAGUUUUCUGAGUCAUCCCCUGCUGUUCCCUCAAGGCCACAAUCCACCCCCACCGAAGAAAAGAAGGAAAAGAUUAAAGAGGAGUACGAGGAGAGGCUGUCCAAGUUGCAGGCUGAAUACAAUGCAGAGCAGGAAUCCAAGGCGAAGCUGCAGGAGGACAUCGCUGCUCUGCGUUCCUCCUAUGAAUCAAAGCUGUCCAGUCUGGAGAAGGCCCAAGCCAGCAGGGGGAGCUCUGUCCCCAAGAAUGUGGGCGCCAGCUGUACAUUCCAGGUUGCUGAGGAAGAACUCUGCAUGAGCACUGAUCCCAUGCGCCACGGUACAGUUGAGGAAACCUCCCAGACUAAGCUUUCCGAAAAAGAUCCAGAUAGAGCUGGGCUCUUGGAUUCUUCUGAUGCAACUGCACCGGGGCCUCUAGACCAGAAACACGUCCUGGAAAGACUGCAGCAGCUGGAACAGGAGGUGGUAGGAGGGGAGCAGGCCAGGAACAAAGAGCUGCAACAAAGACAGCGGCAGAGGAAAAAACUUGCUGACCAGAGAAAAGCUCAGCUUGUCCAUGCUCUGUCAGAGAACAGCGAGGAGAGCGAAAAUGUGCUGCUGAAUGUCUACAACUCUAUCCAGGAAGAAGUCCAUGCCAAAAACCAAAUGCUAGUCAAAGUUCAGGGCAAGCUGAAAGCAGCCAAACUGGAGAUCCGUGACCUGCAGGCAGAGUUUGAGGUGGAGAGGAAUGACUACCUGGCGACUAUACGCAGGCUGGAGAAGGAAGGGAAGCUCCUGCACAGCCUGCUGGAGCGUAUGGUGCCUCUGGUGCGCCGUGACUGCAACUACAGCAACCUGGACCGCUUGAAGAAGGAAGCAGUCUGGGACGAGGACAGCGCCACCUGGAGACUGCCAGAUGUGAUGGUGCAGAAAACAACACUGCCUUCAGUGACUCCAAAAGCUUCAGCUCGCAGAGGCUCAGGUUCUGAUGCUGGAGAGGCAUUUAUGCAGGUGGAGGAGGACAGGUACAAGGAAAUGCUGGACAGAAGUGACAGUGAAAAUAUCGCCAGCAGCUACUUCAAGUCAAAGAGAGCGAGCCAGCUCCUCGGAAGUGACACCGCAAAAGCCCACGUUAACGUGGCAGGCCACCUCUCUGUGAGCGGCUCUAACAUGAAUCUGCCUGUGAGCUCAGACGCCAUCCUGCCUCGCCCCUUCCGUCUGGAGUCGCUGGAUGUCCCAGUGUCCAACAGUAAAGUGAAGCGCAAAAAAAGCAAAUCUCACAUCCAUAAUGAGGCGAUUUAAACGGACUGUGACCCACAUACAGGGAGUGCAGAAUUAUUAGGCAAGUUGUAUUUUUGAGGAAUAAUUUUAUUAUUGAACAACAACCAUGUUCUCAAUGAACCCAAAAAACUCAUUAAUAUCAAAGCUGAAUG